UACGUAGGGCGCAAGCGUUAUUCGGAAUUAUUGGGCGUAAAGGGCGCGUAGGCGCCAUGCGUGUCUUUCGUGAAAUCCCUCGGCUUAACUGAGGACGUGCGGAAGAAACUGCAAGGCUUGAGUCCGGGAGAGGGGGGUGGAAUUCCCAGUGUAGCGGUGAAAUGCGUAGAUAUUGGGAGGAACACCGGUGGCGAAGGCGGCCCCCCUGGACCGGUACUGACGCUGAGGCGCGAAAGCGUGGGGAGCAAACAGG
rnacentral:rRNA from 1 species